GACGAACGCUGGCGGCGUGCUUAACACAUGCAAGUCGAACGGUGAAGCUCCAGCUUGCUGGAGCGGAUCAGUGGCGAACGGGUGAGUAACACGUGAGCAACCUGCCCCUGACUCUGGAAUAAGCGCUGGAAACGGCGUCUAAUACUGGAUACGAGAAGGGUCCGCAUGGGCACUUUCUGGAAAGUUUUUCGGUUGGGGAUGGGCUCGCGGGCUAUCAGCUUGUUGGUGAGGUAAUGGCUCACCAAGGCGACGACGGGUAGCCGGCAUGAGAGGGCGACCGGCCACACUGGGACUGAUACACGGCCCAGACGCCAACGGUAGGCAGCAGUGGGGAAUAUUGCACAAUGGGCGGAAGCCUGAUGCAGCGACGCCGCGUGAGGGAUGACGGCCUUCGGGUUGUAAACCUCUUUCAGCAGGGAAGAAGCGAAAGUGACGGUACCUGCAGAAGAAGCACCGGCUAACUACGUG
rnacentral:rRNA from 1 species